UUGUUUUUCCUUCCCUUCACAGAUGUUCAUCUGCUUUGCUUCUUUAAUUCCACCUAUGAAUGACACCUCACGGUCAUUCUCUUUUCCGAAUGACCUAUUUCACUUAAGAUGAUCCCUCUACUUCUAUCCACGUCAUUGCAAAUGGCAAGAUUUCCUGCUCUUUGAUAGGACACACGGUGAAGCUUCAGGAAGAUGUGGGCCCACAUCCACCCUGACAGGAGCCCUUGGGCCGCUUCAGGACCUGCGGUGAGGCUUCAGGGAGUUGUGGGCCCGCAUCCACGCUCACAGGAGCCCCUGGGCCGCCUCAGAACAUGUGGGGAAGCUUCUGAAAGAUGGUGCACCGCGUCCACUCUGGCAGGAGCUAACUGGCCCCUCAGGACAUAAGUUGAGUCUUCUGGAAGCUGGGGGCCGCAUCCACAGUGACAGGAGCCUCGGCCACCUCAGAACCUGCGGUGAUGCUUUGGGAGGACGUGGGGCCAUGUCCACACAACCAGACGCUGAUGUCCUCAGGACCCCCGGUGUAGACUUCGGGAAAUAUGGGGAUGCGUCCAUGCGGACAGAAGACCCCAGCCUUGUCAGAACCUGUGGUGAAGCCUAAGAAAAAUGUGGAUGCCGAAUCCACACUGACAGAAUUCUCCGGCCUCCUCAGGACACACUGUGAAUGAUUCGGAUGAUUUGGGGCCACGUCCAUUCUGACAAGAGCCCCUGGCCUCCUCAGGUCUUAUGGUGAGGCUGAGGAAAAUGUGGGGCCACGUCAAGACUGAGAGGACCCGCGUCCUCCUCAGGACCUGCACUUUGUCUUCGGGACACAUGAGGCUGCGUCUAGGCUGACAGGAACCCACAGCCUCCUCAGUACCGCGGUGAGUUUUCAGGGGACAUGGGGCCAUGUCCAGGCUGACAGGAACCCCUGGCCUCCUGAGAACCUGCUGUGAGGCUUCCAGAGGAUGUGAGGCAUCCAGAAGGAUGUUCCUCCUCCUUCCAGAGGAGGCAUACUCCACGUUGAGAGGAGACCCGGAGUACUCAGGACCCACUGACUAUGACUCUGGAACACGUGGGGCCACGUCCGCAUUCACAGGAGCCCGGCUUCCUCAGGACCCCCUGGAGGACUCUGGAGGCGCCGUUGGGGGCCACGUCCAUGUCAGAAGGGACUCCUCAGAACCAUAGGCAUUUCGUUGUAUGCGGGAGAAUCGCGGAGUGAGAACCAAGUGUCUGCCUUGUCAAUUUCACGCCUAGCGGACAGCUGCCUCCAAGGCAUGCACACUCCUUUGGUUGAGCUUAUGGCUUGUAAAGCCCACAUGCUGACCGCCUGUACGCUUCACUUACAAAGAACUUCGUUCGAUACGGGAAGCAAGUUUUGCGAGAGGCAAAUGUGUCUUAGUUCAAUCCAGCAACUUCUGAGGAAUUCCUCCCUCAGAUGGGAGCUACAUACUAACUUCCAAAACUGAGUACCUAGCUGAAAGCUCUCUCUCUGGGGAACUUCCUUCUCGGAGAUGAGCUGAAACGUGGUCCUUCCCAGUUCCACACUGCCUGCAGAUACAGUUACAAACAUCCUCACUAGACAUGUUUGUCAGAAGCUCAUGGGAUGCAAAGGGCAAGCUUCAGACUUCAAGGUUGUGUCUCCAGGUGCAGUAAAGCGGUAUUCAUGGAACAUCCUGAAUUACAAUGCUGCCAUGUUCUCAUGGCCAUCAGAAUGCAGUUAAGAGAAAGCUGGCUUCAAGUCAUGCUCCUUUUGAAAGCUGAGCUCAGGGAAGGACCAUCCCACAUCCUGCCUGCCUGUAGUCGUAGCUGCUAACAUCCUUAUUUUAGGUGUUGGGAGAGGUUGGAGAAAUGCAAGUGGAAGUUUCAGGGCAGUACUUAUGUGAAUCUGAGUUCAAUACAGCGAUUGCCAACGUCCUUGUUUAAUUAGAGUGUAGCUUGUGUAUACCUCCCCUUGAUGUCUAGCAAACAUCGGCCUGCAAAGCAUACACACUUCUGAGACUUGAAUUUAUGCCUUGUACCUCGCACAUGCUGACUGCAGAUACACUUCGCUCCUGUCAGGCUUAGGCUCGAUGCGUGACAGAAGUUUGUCAGAGGUUAGUGGAAGGUGCCGGCCCACACAACUAGUGUCUCCAUGCCCAAUCCAGAGAUAUGUGAGGAACUGCUCUCUUAGAUUGGUGCUACAUACUAAGUUCCAUACAUGAGAAGCUAGUUGAACAUGGUGUCCAAAGGGUACUUGCCUCUGAGACUUGAGCUCACAUCCAGUCCCUCACAGUUCCACUCAGCCUUCAGAUGGAAUUUCGAACAUCCUCACUAGACAUGUUUGUCAGAAGCUCAUAGGACACAAGGAGCUAGCUGCUGGCUUCAAUGCUUGUCUCUCCAGGUGCAGUAGCGCGGUAUACAUGGACCGUCCUGACUUACAGUGGUGCUACGUUCUGAAGGCCAUAACAACGCAGCUAGUAGAAAGCUGGCUUUGAGGCAUGCUUCCUUUUGAGAGCUGUCUCAGGGCAGGACCCUCCCGCAUCCUGCCUGACUGUAGACGUAGCUGCUAACAUCCUUGUGUUAGGUGCUAGGAGAGGUUGUGAGAAAAGCAUGUGGAAGCGUCGGGCUUGAACUCACGUGUAUCUGAGUUGAAUACAGCGAUAUCCAACGGACUUCUUCAAUCAGAGUGUAGUUAUGUUCUAACUCCCAUGUACGAGCGGUUAGCAGAAAUCUGCCUCCCAGGCAUACACACUACUGAGAGUUGAGCUUAUGAUCUGUACCUCAACAUCCUGCCUUCAGGUACACUUCGCUUCUAAAAGGCCUAGACUCGAUGCGUGACGGAAGUGUGGUGAGAGCAUUCCGUUCUAUGCGGGACAGUAGCGGAGUGAGAACCAAGAGUCUGCAUUGUCAAUUUCGCGACUACCGGACACCUGCCUCCAAGUGAUGCACACUCCUUUGGAUGAGCUUAUGGCUUGUUCCUCCCACAUGCUGACCGCCUGUACCUUUCACUUCAAAAGGACGUCGUUCCAUAUGGGACACAAGUUUUGUGAGAGGCAAGUGUCUCCCAGCCCAAUCCAACGACUUCUGAGUAAUUCCUCCCUCAGAAGGGAGCUACAUACUAACUUCCAAACCUGAGUACCUAGUUGAAAGCUGUCUCUCUGGGGAACUUCCUUC